rnacentral:rRNA from 1 species
AAUGAACGCUGGCGGCGUGCCUAACACAUGCAAGUCGCACGAGAAAAGUCUGCUUUUCGGGCGGGCGAGUAAAGUGGCGCACGGUGAGUAACGCGUAGGCAAUCUACCCCCGGGACCGGGAUAACAGUGCGAAAGCGCUGCUAAUACCGGAUACGAUCUUUCGGCGGGAGCUGGAAGGUGAAAGUCGGCCUCUCUAAAGAAGCUGAUGUUCGGGGAUGAGCCUGCGUCCUAUCAGCUAGUUGGUGGGGUAACGGCCCACCAAGGCGACGACGGGUAGCUGGUCUGAGAGGAUGAUCAGCCACACUGGCACUGAAACACGGGCCAGACUCCUACGGGAGGCAGCAGUGAGGAAUUUUGCGCAAUGGGAGCAAUCCUGACGCAGCAACGCCGCGUGGGUGAUGAAGGCCUUCGGGUCGUAAAGCCCUGUCAGGUGGGAAGAAUAGUUUCAAGUCGAACAGGCUUGGGAUGUGACGGUACCACCAGAGGAAGCACCGGCUAACUCCGUGCCAGCAGCCGCGGUAA